UUUCCGUAGGUGAACCUGCGGAAGGAUCAUUCAUAAUAAGUGUUUUAUGGCAUUUUUUUAAAUCCAUAUCCACCUUGUGUGCAAUGUCAGGGUUGAUUUUUUUUUGAAAGGAUCAGGCCCAAACAUCAACUAUAUCUCAACUCUUUGGCUGAAAAAUAUUAUGAAUAAAACAAUUCAAAAUACAACUUUCAACAACGGAUCUCUUGGCUCUC
rnacentral:misc_RNA from 1 species